AUUGAACGCUGGCGGCAUGCUUUACACAUGCAAGUCGAACGGUAACAGGCCGCAAGGUGCUGACGAGUGGCGAACGGGUGGGUAAUGCAUCGGAGCGUGCCCAGUCGUGGGGGAUAACUACUCGAAAGAGUAGCUAAUACCGCAUACGAUCUAUGGAUGAAAGCGGGGGACCGUAAGGCCUCGCGCGAUUGGAGCGGCCGAUGUCAGAUUAGGUAGUUGGUGGGGUAAAGGCUCACCAAGCCAACGAUCUGUAGCUGGUCUGAGAGGACGACCAGCCACACUGGGACUGAGACACGGCCCAGACUCCUACGGGAGGCAGCAGUGGGGAAUUUUGGACAAAGGGCGCAAGCCUGAUCCAGCAAUGCCGCGUGCAGGAAGAAGGCCUUCGGGUUGUAAACUGCUUUUGUACGGAACGAAACGGCUCUGGUUAAUACCCGGGGCUAAUGACGGUACCGUAAGAAUAAGCACCGGCUAACUACGUG
rnacentral:rRNA from 1 species